rnacentral:rRNA from 1 species
CGCCUGCCCUGUGACAAAUGUUUAACGGCCGCGGUAUUUUGACCGUGCAAAGGUAGCGCAAUCACUUGUCUUUUAAAUGAAGACCUGUAUGAAUGGCACGACGAGGGCUUAACUGUCUCCUUUUUCCAGUCAAUGAAAUUGAUCUUCCCGUGCAGAAGCGGGAAUAAAACCAUAAGACGAGAAGACCCUAUGGAGCUUUAGACACAAGACAGAUCUUGUUAAGCACCUCAAAAUAAAGAAAUAAACUAAAAGAGCCCUGCCCUAUUGUCUUUGGUUGGGGCGACCACGGGGAAACAAAUAACCCCCACGCGGACUGAGAAAACAGUUCUUACAACCAAGAGCCACAGCUCUAAACAACAGAAAUUCUGACCUCAAGAUCCGGCAGUGCCGAUCAACGGACCGAGUUACCCUAGGGAUAACAGCGCAAUCCCCUUUUAGAGUCCAUAUCGACAAGGGGGUUUACGACCUCGAUGUUGGAUCAGGACAUCCUAAUGGUGCAGCAGCUAUUAAGGGUUCGUUUGUUCAACGAUUAAAGUCCU